UACGUAGGGUGCGAGCGUUGUCCGGAAUUAUUGGGCGUAAAGGGCUCGUAGGCGGUUUGUCGCGUCUGCUGUGAAAAACUCGGGGGCUUAACCCCCGGGCCUGCAGUGGGUACGGGGCAGACUAGAGUGCGGUAGGGGGAGACUGGAAUUCCUGGUGUAGCGGUGAAAAUGCGCAGAUAUCAGGAGGAACACCCGGUGGCGAAAGGCGGCGUCUGGGGAAGAUACUGACGUGAGGUGCGAAAAGCGUGGGGGGAGCAAAACAGG
rnacentral:rRNA from 1 species